CCCUACGGGCGGCAGCAGUGGGGAAUCUUAGACAAUGGGGGCAACCCUGAUCUAGCCAUGCCGCGUGAGUGAUGAAGGCCUUAGGGUUGUAAAGCUCUUUCAGCUGGGAAGAUAAUGACGGUACCAGCAGAAGAAGCCCCGGCUAACUCCGUGCCAGCAGCCGCGGUAAUACGGAGGGGGCUAGCGUUGUUCGGAAUUACUGGGCGUAAAGCGCACGUAGGCGGAUUGGAAAGUUGGGGGUGAAAUCCCGGGGCUCAACCCCGGAACUGCCUCCAAAACUACCAGUCUUGAGGUCGAGAGAGGUGAGUGGAAUUCCGAGUGUAGAGGUGAAAUUCGUAGAUAUUCGGAGGAACACCAGUGGCGAAGGCGGCUCACUGGCUCGAUACUGACGCUGAGGUGCGAAAGCGUGGGGAGCAAACAGGAUUAGAUACCCGUGUAGUCCA
rnacentral:rRNA from 1 species